rnacentral:tRNA from 1 species
GCGGACGUGGCGCAGUUGGUAGCGCGCGAACUUGCCAAGUUCGAGGCCACGGGUUCGAGACCCGUCGUCCGCU